rnacentral:rRNA from 1 species
CAGUUCGGAUUGUAGUCUGCAACCCGACUACAUGAAGCUGGAAUCGCUAGUAAUCGCGGAUCAGAAUGCCGCGGUGAAUACGCUCCCGGGUCUUGUACACACCGCCCGUCACACCAUGGGAGUCGGAAAUGCCCGAAGUCUGUGACCCAACCUACGGGAGGGAGCAGCCGAAGGCAGGUCGGAUGACUGGGGUGAAGUCGUAACAAGGUAGC